UACGUAGGGCGCAAGCGUUGUUCGGAAUUACUGGGCGUAAAGAGCUCGUAGGCGGCUUGUUACGUCUGCUGUGAAAUCCCGGGGCUCAACCCCGGGCGUGCAGUGGAUACGGGCUGGCUAGAGGCAGGCAGGGGAGAACGGAAUUCCCGGUGUAGCGGUGAAAUGCGCAGAUAUCGGGAGGAACACCGGUGGCGAAGGCGACUACCUGGCCUGUUCUUGACGCUGAGGCGCGAAAGCUAGGGGAGCAAACGGG
rnacentral:rRNA from 1 species